rnacentral:tRNA from 1 species
AAUAAGUUGGCAGAUUAAUGCGGUUGGCUUAGAACCUUCAUAUGAGGUUAACUCACUUAUUA